rnacentral:rRNA from 1 species
AGUGAACGCUGGCGGUAGGCCUAACACAUGCCAGUCGAACGGCAGCACAGUAAGAGCUUGCUCUUACGGGUGGCGAGUGGCGGACGGGUGAGGAAUACAUCGGAAUCUACUUUUUCGUGGGGGAUAACGUAGGGAAACUUACGCUAAUACCGCAUACGACCUACGGGUGAAAGCAGGGGAUCUUCGGACCUUGCGCGAUUGAAUGAGCCGAUGUCGGAUUAGCUAGUUGGCGGGGUAAAGGCCCACCAAGGCGACGAUCCGUAGCUGGUCUGAGAGGAUGAUCAGCCACACUGGAACUGAGACACGGUCCAGACUCCUACGGGACGCAGCAGUGGGGAAUAUUGGACAAUGGGCGCAAGCCUGAUCCAGCCAUACCGCGUGGGUGAAGAAGGCCUUCGGGUUGUAAAGCCCUUUUGUUGGGAAAGAAAAGCAGCAGGUUAAUACCCCGCUGUUCUGACGGUACCCAAAGAAUAAGCACCGGCUAACUUCGUG